GGCCUGGCGAAGCCCUCACAGACCCUCUCCCUCAUCUGUGCUGUCUCUGCUUCUCCAUCACAACCAGUGCUUCCUGCUGGAGCUGGAUCCCUCAGCUCCCCAGGGAAGGGACUGGAGUGAAUCAGGUGCACAGGUCAUGAGGGAGAACACAACGCAACCCACGCCUCAAGAGUCCAGUCACCAUCUCCAGAUCCACAUCCAAAACACAGUUUCUUCUACAGCUG
rnacentral:lncRNA from 1 species